UAUGUACUCCCUCCGUUCAGAAUUACUUGUCUCAGAAAUGGAUGUAUCUAGAACUAAAAUACAUCUAGAUACAUCCAUCUCUGCGACAAGUAAUUCCGAACGGAGGGAGUACAUC
rnacentral:pre_miRNA from 1 species